CUUUCAACAACGGAUCUCUUGGUUCUGGCAUCGAUGAAGAACGCAGCGAAAAUGCGAUAAGUAAUGUGAAUUGCAGAAUUCAGUGAAUCAUCGAAUCUUUGAACGCACAUUGCGCCCCUUGGUAUUCCGGGGGGCAUGCCUGUUCGAGCGUCAUUGCACCACUCAAGCUCAGCUUGGUAUUGGGCCU
rnacentral:rRNA from 1 species